CCUAUUUGUUGCAUUCGGCAAAAUUAUUGACGUAUACACAAACAAGCAAAUAAAGGCAAAUACGACCUUCCACACAUGGACGUCAAAUACCAAACCUUUACUUGAUUUUGUUUACAGUACAACAGAGCUUUAAAAG